rnacentral:rRNA from 1 species
UGGGGAAUAUUGGACAAUGGGCGCAAGCCUGAUCCAGCAAUGCCGCGUGUGUGAAGAAGGCCUUCGGGUUGUAAAGCACUUUUAUCAGGAGCGAAACGCUGUCGGCUAAUACCCGGCGGAACUGACGGUACCUGAGGAAUAAGCACCGGCUAACUUCGUGCCAGCAGCCGCGGUAGUACGAAGGGUGCAAGCGUUAAUCGGAAUUACUGGGCGUAAAGCGUGCGUAGGCGGUUUCUUAAGUCUGCUGUGAAAUCCCCGGGCUCAACCUGGGAAUGGCAGUGGAUACUGGGAGGCUAGAGUGUGUCAGAGGGUGGUGGAAUUCCCGGUGUAGCGGUGAAAUGCGUAGAGAUCGGGAGGAACAUCAGUGGCGAAGGCGGCCACCUGGGACAACACUGACGCUGAGGCACGAAAGCGUGGGGAGCAAACAGGAUUAGAUACCCUGGUAGUCCACGCCCUAAACGAUGCGAACUGGAUGUUGGUCUCAACUCGGAGAUCAGUGUCGAAGCUAACGCGUUAAGUUCGCCGCCUGGGGAGUACGGUCGCAAGACUGAAACUCAAAGGAAUUGACGGGGUCAUAGCUGUUUCCUG